rnacentral:rRNA from 1 species
UUAGACCUCAAAUCAGGA